CUUAUUCAGUGUAUAAUGUGACGCAAGUGGAACACGCAUAUCUUCAAUUUAUAUCUCCAUGCUUUAUCCCGUUGUUCAUGAUGUAUUUUACGUCAUUACGGCCAAAGAAAAAGAAUUGGAUAUCGUCUUUUCAAACAGCAUUUUCUCGAGAUUUGCUGCUCCAAAACAUUUAAAAAAAGGAAAAUGAUGUUUGAAAACAAAUUAAAAAUGCGUAACAUUUUAACCAGGUCAGAAUUUAUUCGAAGAACUCUAAUAGUUAUUUAUGAAAUACUAAAACGUUAUUACGGAAAUGUAUGCUUUUAUAGAAUACUAUUCUUAUUUUUUCCUCGCAGUCAUAUGAUUCAAUUAUAAUCAACGAAAGUUUUAUGUGAAUUUUUCCAAGUAUUUAAAACAUAUAAGACAAUAGAUGAUAAAGAUGAGCAUAAUCAUUUCUAAAAACGGAACUUUACAUUUGGGAAUGAUAUGAAUCUUAUAGG